CUGAAAUAAACUGUCUAAACAUACUGUAGUUUAAAAAGCCUCUAACUGACUGAACUGUCUGAAUAAGGAGUUGAUGGAACAUAUCUCCAACUAACUCCAUCUACUGAAAGAUAAACUAAAAUAAUGAAAUAAAUAAUAAUAUCGUCCUUGAAUGAUGAGGACUCAUUGUUAAAUCUGGCUGUCGAAAUUUAGAGUGCUGCUGAUGCUCUGGAACUCGUGCUUCUAGACCUAUGGUAUAAAACACCAUAGCGCAAAUGCGUCAGUAUGAUUGAAUGUACUGAUAUAUGAGGUAGGCUGAAUGCAGAGGGUUCAAAUGCAUGAACAAUGCUAACUGACUAUAUAACAUGAAUGUGAGAAUACAUGCAUGAAUAAAUGACUGUAACUGAAUUCGUGAUGAUACUGACUACUAAGUCUGAAUACUAAUAACAUGAGUUACUAAUAACUAAUACUGAGCGACUGUAUUUGGUAGUCUAAGUUUUGAUGGAACUAGCUGAGUUUCGUACUGUUCUGAGUUGACUGUAUUUGACAGUCCUGAAUUCUGUAUAACUAUCAAAGUUCUAUUACUGAGAUUGAGACUGAAACUGUAAUUAUCGGAAGUAGUCAUCUAACCGACAUGCCCCAAAUAAAACAAUAUAGCUGAGUUGGGGUCUAAUCUGUAACCCCAAUUAGAAGGGUAUCAAUACCGCGCCACUGGUAAGGAUAAGCUGUAAGUAACCCUCAACUAGCAGGUACUCAAAUAAGAAUGGUGGGAACCGUCAACUGGCAGGUAGUCCACCUCAUCAACCCUCAACUAGAAGGUUAGAUGUCUUAACCUAUGCUGGCUACAUAGUUCUGGAACGCAAGGAUUGCUUCUUAGAAUCAUACCCUCUACUGGCAGGUGUUCAUAGAAGAAAACUGACAAGGCGUGACGUUCUUGAAUACAUGACCAACAUCAAUAAUCCAUAAUAUAAUAAGUUGGGGAUUUCAUGAAGCACAUGGUUAUCUUAAACUUGUACAUGGUAGGAAUUUAUAUAAUAAGUAUCAUAAUUUCAUACUCUAACAUCAUGAGCAUUCUAACAAACAUCUACAUUGCACAUCAAUAGCAUUAGAGUCAUUUAAACAUAAGGGUAAGACAUGCAUUUAUCAUAUGGGUUACAAUUGAGCUAUAAUACACAAUUUCUAUCCUCUUAGGCAUUUU
rnacentral:lncRNA from 1 species